GGCUUCAUAGCUCAGUUGAUUAGAGCAUCGCACCAGUAUCACGAGGUCACAGGUUCAAGCCCUGUCGAAGUCC
rnacentral:tRNA from 1 species